UAAAAGUCAGACCUUUCCCAAACAGAGGAAU
rnacentral:piRNA from 1 species